AAAAACUGGGGUGUAUUUUCCUUAGGCAAUGAUUUGCCUCCUAACUCCUUCUCCAUGAGGCUGGGAAAACUAAUGUUUUACCUCAUUGGGGAAGGGAAGAAGGAAGUUACUCUUCCAAACAGAAAGUAAAUUACAAGCAUGGCACAUUCUAUGAAAAAGCAGUGCAUUACCUGUCUCAAACAGCUUUCAGGUUUAGUAUUUUUUUUCAUGAGUGCACUGAUCCUUUCACUUAUCUAGUCUAAAAUUCAGGGGAGAAAUUCAUUUCCCUACAACCCUUUGCCAUUUGGGCCUACCCAGUCUCCAAGAUUCAUCUAAUUUGGGAUUCCUUCACACUAUGCUCAGCAAGGAGUUCUCCCUUGCUAUGGGAGAUCCAAGAGCUUUGACAAAAGGUAUCUGAAUGGAUUGAGAAAGGAACUUUAAAAAGUCUGGAGGAGAAGGGAACAAAGGAGCCAUUAUAUAGUGCCAAGAAGCACAAGGUCAAAGAGACCAACCAAUCCUAAUGGGGUUGAUGAAAAUCUUCACAGUACAAAGGAGCACAAGGUCAAAAAGGACCAAACCAAUCCAGGUCUUUGCACAGUGGAAGGCACAGAAAGGGAGUAAUAUAUGUGAAGUCCAUGAGAAGCCUAUCUGCGAUGAAAGUUAUCAUGAGAUCUUAACUGAAGGAGGAAUAAGCAAUUCAAGCCUCUUCUCCCCACAUCUUUCCUCAAGGAAGAUUCCUGCUAAGGGAGAAAACAAGCCGUUAGGAUGGGAUAUUCACUCUUCUCUUCUCGGAGAAAAGAUUUUAGAAAAAGACAUAACAAAGUUCAUUUGGAUCAAGGAUAUCCAGGGAAAUCAUGAAAAUAAAAAUACAAACGAAGGUGGACUUGCAGUACCAAAUCUCAAACUAUACUAUAAAGCAGUGGUCAUCAAAACAAUUUGGUACUGGCUAAGAGACAGAAUGGAGGAUCAGUGGAAUACACU
rnacentral:lncRNA from 1 species